CGGGAUGGCAGACCAGGGCGUUCACCCGCUCAAUUUAAGCAUAUUAGUCAGCGGAGGAAAAGAAAUCAAUCGAGAUUCCCGUAGUAGCUGCGAGCGAACAGGGAAAAGCCCGAGACCGAAUCCCUUCCCCCCUAGCGGGGGUCGCGGACCUGUAGUCUAAGGGUUGGGACCGCGAGUCAAAGACUUACAGCACACAGGCUAAGAUCCUGGAGCACAGGGCGUUACACGCGACCUGGUAGGGCGGCGACGAGAGGGACUGACCCGCGAGUAGGCCAGCUUGAAAGUGCUGGCUGAAGAUAGGUGGUGCUGGCCAUCUAAGGCUAAAUAUGAAAGCAGGCAACCGAUAGCAAACAAGUACCGUAAGGGAAAGC
rnacentral:rRNA from 1 species